rnacentral:rRNA from 1 species
UGCCAGCCGCCGCGGUAAUACGGAGGGGGUUAGCGUUAUUCGGAAUUACUGGGCUUAAAGGGUGCGUAGGCGGCGCUAUAAGUCGGGUGUGAAAUCCCACGGCUCAACCGUGGAAUUGCGCCCGAUACUGUAGUGCUUGAGGGAGACAGGGGUAAGCGGAACUCACAGUGGAGCGGUGAAAUGCGUUGAUAUUGUGAGGAACACCGGUGGCGAAGGCGGCUUACUGGGUCUCUUCUGACGCUGAGGUACGAAAGCUAGGGUAGCGAACGGGAUUAGAUA